AGAGGCUGAGAGCACUUUGCAAACCUGAAUAAGGGAUAAGAAGGCAGUACCCCGCUGUGAAGAAAUCAGCAGGAACUUUCCCAGCCAGUUUCUUCCUGCGUUCUCCCUCCGGCCAUCAAGAAGAGGGGGCGGGGACCAGACUCCUGUCUUUCAAGCGUUAUCUUACCACAUGACCGCCACCCUGGCACUUACAGUGGAAACUUGCCGCUUCCAUUUCUAACUAGGCAGAUUCUUUACCACUGCGCCUCCUGGGAAGCCCAUGUCACAUUCUACUAAAGAAGAAAUUGCGCAAACCUGAAGUGGCCCCUGCCUCACCAAGCUUUGACUCUGAGUCAAGUUUAAAGAUGAAGUCAUUGAAAAAGCAUGACAUUUUGACCCAAGAUUCACUGCAUUUCCUUAUGGCCAAAUAGCAAGUGAAUCUGGCAUUUCUUCAUGAAGAUGUAA
ensembl:lncRNA